AUUCUAAAAGACAAAAUGUUAUUUUAUUAAUUCAACAUUAAUGGCUGAAGAUUGUUCUCCAGAAAGUGAUCUAAUAGAUAGAUAUACAGGAGACUCGUUUGGAUAUCAAACCAUCAUGGAUAACCCAGCAAGUUUAUAUGUUGCCCAGUCAAGCACAGCUAGUGAUGAUGACCUUCUCCACAUUACGCACACGGGAUCUGUUCACGAACAGACAGAACCUGUUCGUCAUGAAGAUAACGUGCACGCAGCCGUCGACGAUAUCCCAGGGAUGGGUCAAUACGACGAUUUUCACACUAUUGACUGGCAGAGAGAUAUUGCCAGGGAUAGAACACGGCACAGAUAUAUCUUGAAGAAGAAGGGAGACAGUAUCUGGGAUAUGUUAAAGGGAGCUCAUGAUGCCUGGUCGGGUUGGGUCUGUGUUCUCCUUGUUGGUGUAUCAGCUGGUGUAAUGGCUGGAAUUAUUGACAUCGGAGCAUCCUGGCUGAUUGAUCUCAAGUUCGGGAUUUGUCCGAGCGCGUUCUAUCUGAACAUGGAGCAGUGUUGUUGGUCCUCGAACGAAACAGUCCGAGAUAUCUCCGGUAACUGCACCCUCUGGAUGACCUGGCCGGAGGUUCUAGGGAUCCCAAGGGAGGGUGCCGGAGGAUACAUUCUCCGAUACCUUUUCUAUAUAAUUUGGGCUGUAUUGUUCGGAUUCCUUGCUGCGUCUCUAGUACGUAUGUUUGCUCCCUACGCCUGUGGAUCUGGUAUCCCGGAGAUAAAAACCAUCCUCAGCGGUUUCAUCAUCCGAGGAUACCUUGGCAAGUGGACUCUGUUGAUUAAAGCUGUUGGUAUAAUGCUAUCUGUUGCUAGCGGAAUGAGCUUGGGAAAGGAGGGACCAAUGGUUCACAUGGUUUGCUGUAUCGGUAACAUUAUUUCAUACUUGUUCCCGAAAUAUGGCCGAAACGAAGCUAAGAAACGAGAGAUUUUAUCGGCAGCAUCAGCUGCAGGAGUUUCUGUAGCGUUCGGAGCACCCAUCGGAGGCGUUCUUUUUAGCCUGGAGGAGGUCAGCUACUACUUUCCUCUGAAGACGCUCUGGAGGUCGUUCUUCUGUGCCCUAGUUGCGGCAUUUGUGCUUCAAUCAAUCAAUCCUUUUGGAAACGAGCACAGUGUUCUGUUCUACGUGGAGUACAGCAAACCUUGGCUUUUCUUCGAGCUCAUUCCCUUCCUGUUCCUCGGAAUUGUCGGAGGAGUUCUCGGCUCUCUCUUCAUUCGAGCAAAUAUCAAGUGGUGCAGGUUCCGUAAAACUUCAAGGCUCGGUCAAUUCCCAGUCCUAGAGGUUGUUGCCAUCGCCUGUGCCAACGCCCUGCUUGCAUUCCCGAACAAGUAUACUCGGAUGAACACGAGUGAACUGAUCUACUUGAUGUUCACCCAGUGCGGAGUGACAAAUGAACACGAUAUCUGUGACUACGUGAACAGAAACUUUACCAACGUGAACCACGCAGUUCCCAUUGCAGAGGCAGGGGACGGAGUCUACACGGCACUGUGGCAGCUUCUCCUUGCUCUCAUUUUCAAGAUGCUCAUCACCAUCUUUACCUUUGGUAUCAAGGUCCCGGCCGGGCUCUUCAUCCCCUCCCUUGCAAUGGGAGCUAUUGUCGGACGUAUUGUUGGGAUUGGGAUGGAACAGUUUGUUUUCGCGUAUCAUGACUCUCUUCCAUGGUUUUUCGAGGGUAAAUGUAGCCAGGACGAAUCCUGUAUUACCCCUGGCCUCUACGCUAUGGUUGGAGCGGCGGCCAUGUUGGGCGGAGUGACGAGAAUGACCGUAAGUCUGGUUGUCAUCAUGUUUGAGUUGACCGGCGGGGUGAGGUAUAUUGUACCGUUGAUGGCUGCGUCUAUGGCGAGUAAGUGGGUUGGAGAUGCUCUUGGUAAAACUGGAAUCUAUGACGCUCAUAUUGAUCUGAACGGGUACCCUUUCCUCGACUGUAAGGACGAGUUCGGACACACUACUCUGGCUGCAGAUGUGAUGCAGCCGCAGCGUAACGAACCGUUGGCCGUCAUCACUCAGGACUCAACCUCGCUCUCAGAGCUCCAGCAGCUUAUGAAGAGUACAGAUCAUAACGGUUUCCCAGUCGUUGUAUCAAGAGAAUCUCAGUACCUUGUCGGUUUUGUUCUCCGGCGAGAUAUUCAACUAGCAAUCGAGAACGCACGCUCACGUCUCGACGCUUUACCUGGCAGCACGCUUUGUGUUUUCACCCAGCACCUGCCGGUGGUGGGGAGCGGGCCCCCGCCGAUCAAGAUGAGGAAGAUUGUGGAUCUUGCUCCUAUUACAAUCACAGAUCAGACUCCGAUGGAGACUGUAGUCGAUAUGUUCCGUAAACUUGGUCUCCGUCAAACCCUUGUCACUCACAGUGGUCGACUUCUGGGGAUUAUUACAAAGAAAGAUGUUCUUAGGCAUAUAAAACGACUGGAGGAUGACGACCCUGAGACCAUCCUGUUCAACUAGAAUUAGAUUUAUCCGACUGAACCCUUCUGCUUCCAGGAGACGGGGUGCGGAUUUAGAUAUAAAAAUUUGGCAGAAUAUAACCAACCCUGAGAUCUGGAUAUUGAAUUUUUAUUUAACAAAUAUUUCUUAAAUAUUAUCGUCUUGGUUUUAAACUUCUUGAGACUUAAAGGGACUUUCCUUUAAAACUAAAGUUUUAUUAUAAAAAAAUUGUUCAGAACCUUUUAUUGUAUUCGUCGAUCGUGAAACAGAUGUGAUUUAUAUUGAGAAUUUAGCUAUUUAUUUAUUCUCACUUUUGUUAAAUUAUGCGUUUAGUCUUAUCAUUGUAUCAUUAGUAAUUCAUCUCUCCGGUGCAACAGAUGUAAAUUAUCGAUUUGUUUCCCUAGCAUUUUCUUGGACUGUUUUCUUUCACUUUCCCCUAGUUUUCUUUCACUUCCCCCUAGACUCUUUUCUUUCCCUUUCCCCUAGUUUUCUUUCACUUUCCCCUAGACUGUUUUCUUUCACUUUCCCCUAGUUUUCUUUCACUUUCCCCUUGGCUGUUUUCUUUCACUUUCCCCUAGUUUUCUUUCACUUUCCCCUAGACUCUUUUCUUUCACUUUCUCCUAGACUGUUUUCUUUCACUUUCUCCUAGACUGUUUUCUUUCACUUUCCCCUAGACUCUUUUCUUUCACUUUCCCCUAGACUGUUUUCUUUCACUUUCCCCUAGACUGUUUUCUUUCACUUUCCCCUAGACUGUUUUCUUUCACUUUCCCCUAGACUGUUUUCUUUCACUUUACCCUAGACUGUUUUCUUUCACUUUCCCCUAGACUGUUUUCUUUCACUUUCUCCUAGACUGUUUUCUUUCACUUUCCCCUUGACUUUUUUCUUUCACUUUCCCCUAGACUGUUUUCUUUCACUUUCUCUUAGACUGUUUUCUUUCACUUUCCCCUUGACUUUUUUUCUUUCACUUUCCCCUAGACUGUUUUCUUUCACUUUCCCCUAGACUGUUUAUUACACUUUCCCCUAGACUGUUUUCUUUCACUUCCCCCUAGACUGUUUUCUUUCACUUUCCCCUAGACUGUUUUCUUUCUUUUAGAUUGAUCUUUUAUUUGAUUUAUUCAUACAUUUGAUUUCCUCAAAAGCUUAAUAGUCCAAUUUUUUCUGAGGUUCAAACUUUUGUAUUGCGAAUCUCGGGAUCAAGGAUUGAUCUCCAUCUUAUGCAGAUCUUAGGAUCAAAAGUUGUCACCGUGGAUAUCGAGAUCAAUCGCUGUAUAUUCGCGCCAUUGCUAUUGCUUUGAAACGUUUUCACACCGAUUCAAAUGCUUUCCUACCUUUUAUUCAUAAUUCGUUGGAUUGCUUGCUAGUUCUGCUACACAAGUUUUAUUAAAGUAGGGAUAUUCUAUGUUGUGAUUAGGACUCUUAAUACAAAAAAAAUUCUCUUUAGAUUUCAAAAUUCGGGAGAACUUUUUAUGCAUAAAAAUUAAGGUUGACACUUAUUGUGUUGUAAAUACGAAUCAAAAAAUAUACGGGUUAAAUCAAUUUCCGUUGUAGUAGUAUAAUAUCUAUUGUAGGCUCCAGGGCCUGUGGAAUUUGGUAAAUUCUUUCCGUCGGCAGCAGAUUUCAGACACCAGAGAAGUUUGUUACAACUGUCUCAUGGACCUGCAUACUGCACGGAACCUACUAAACUAUUACAUCAAUUCGUCAUUCAAUGUUUAAUGACCGACAACGACUGUAAUUUAAUCCCACCGGUCGGAAUGCGAAGGGGCAAGCAGCAAAAUGUUCAUUGCUAGAUUGCAGUUUUAGUCGCAGUUACGUGACCAGCGACGCUACUCACAAAGCCAUGGAGCUCUUCAAAUCAAUUCCCUAUAUCUCGUGAAUCCCGUGAUAACUGUAUAACAAAAACGAUGGAUUAAUAAAUUAUUCGUCAAUUUUAAAA